rnacentral:rRNA from 1 species
ACGGAAGGCAGCAGUGAGGAAUAUUGGUCAAUGGAGGCAACUCUGAACCAGCCAUCUCGCGUGAAGGAAUACGGCCCUAUGGGUCUUAAACUUCUUUUAUAGGGGGAUAAAGAGAGAUACGCGUAUCUUAUUGUAGGUACCCUAUGAAUAAGCAUCGGCUAACUCCGUGCCAGCAGCCGCGGUGAUACGGAGGAUGCGAGCGUUAUCCGGAUUUAUUAGGUUUAAAGGGUGCGCAGGCGGGACAUUAAGUCGGCGGUGAAAUACCGUGGCCCAACCACGGGGCUGCCGUCGAUACUGAUGACCUAGAGUGCGUGUGACGUAGGCGGAAUGUGACGUGUAGCGGUGAAAUGCUUAGAUAUGUCACAGAACACCGAUUGCGAAGGCAGCCUACGAAUGCGUAACUGACGCUCAUGCACGAAAGCGCGGGUAGCGAACAGGAUUAGAUACCCUGGUA